rnacentral:rRNA from 1 species
GGGCCCGCACAAGCGGUGGAGUAUGUGGUUUAAUUCGAUGCAACGCGAAGAACCUUACCAGGGUUUGACAUCCUGUGCCACUCCGAGAGAUCGGACGUUCCCUUCGGGGACGCAGUGACAGGUGCUGCAUGGCUGUCGUCAGCUCGUGUCGUGAGAUGUUCGGUUAAGUCCGGCAACGAGCGCAACCCACACCCUUAGUUGCCAGCAGUUCGGCUGGGCACUCUAAGGGAACUGCCCGUGAUAAGCGGGAGGAAGGUGUGGAUGACGUCAAGUCCUCAUGGCCCUUACGGGUUGGGCUACACACGUGCUACAAUGGCAGUGACAAUGGGUUAAUCCCAAAAACUGUCUCAGUUCGGAUUGUUCUCUGCAACUCGAGAGCAUGAAGUCGGAAUCGCUAGUAAUCG